rnacentral:rRNA from 1 species
UUUGGGGGAAUGUAUAGCUUUGGCUAAUUAUAUUUGUUUUAAUUGAUGAAAGAUAAAUUAAAUAUUAAAAUGUUGAUUAAUUUAUUAAUUAAUAUUGCUCAUGUUUUAUCGACUUUGUCGCAUAAAGUUCUAGAUAGAAUACUGAUUAUGACAAUUUUCUAUCUAUGUGUCUUGACCAAAUUACGUGCCAGCAGUCGCGGUAAUACGUAGAAGACUAGUGUUAUUCAUCUUUAGUAGGUUUAAAGGGUACCUAGACGGUUUAAUUAGUCCAAAAUAGGAUACGGUUUUACUAGAGUUAUAUAUAAGGAGGUGAGUAUUUGUGGAGUAGAGUUGAAAUUCUUUGAUACUACGAGGACUGGUAACGGCGAAAGCAACCUUUUAUCUAAUAACUGACGUUGAGGGACGAAGGCUCGGGUAGCGAACAGGAUUAGAUACCCUAGUAGUCCAAGCAGAAAAUUAUGAAUGCCAUAGAUUAGAUAUUUUUAGUUUAUAAAUGAAAGUGUAAGCAUUCCACCUCAAGAGUAAUGUGGCAACGCAGGAACUGAAAUCAUUAGACC